UACAGAGGGUGCAAGCGUUGCUCGGAAUUAUUGGGCGUAAAGGGUAGGUAGGUGGUCUCAUUUGUCUAGGGUGAAAGCCUGGGGCUUAACCCCAGAAGUGCCCUAGAAACGGUGAGACUGGAGUACUGGAGAGGGUCGUGGAAUUCCCGGUGUAGCGGUGAAAUGCGUAGAGAUCGGGAGGAACACCAGAGGCGAAGGCGGCGACCUGGACAGUAACUGACACUCAACUACGAAAGCGUGGGGAGCAA
rnacentral:rRNA from 1 species